CUGGGCUUCCGGGAGGGCAUGUUGCUUUGCUUGGCAUGCCGGGAGCGGUAGUCUUCCGGCACUGGGCUUCCGGGAAGCCAUGUUGGUAUCCAAAAGGCAGUGCUGCGCCCGAAACAGAUGCGCAUGCGCACUGUUUUUUCCCGUGCUCAUUGCUGCUGUGUCGACAAGCCAGUACUGCAGCCACCACCGGCCAUGCCCGCAUACGAAGAACAUUGCAAGCAGCCGUUGCACACACGUGCACUGCCGGUCGCCGCUACUCUCCGCUUUUUCGCUAACGGCUGCCCCAAAGCCAUGGGCUUCCCCGGUUCAGCAUGUGUCGAUGGGUCCUCCCUUGCUUCUGACGUCUCCCCAGGCACUCGUAUGCUGCGCAGGGGUCUGGAUGUCUCCAGCGGUGGCACGGCAGCCGGAUGCCUGCUCUUGUCUGGGACGCGGGGUCCUUCGCCGCUUUUCUGGGAUACGGGGCCCUUGAGAUAGGACCAACGAUAGCAAAUGCUGACCAAGAGAAAAGCUGGACAAGCAGUUUUUUGUGAUUAAUACCUAAGGGACGGGAUGAAGCAAGGAAGCCAAAAUGCAGCGGACCCUCAAUAUCACCAGAAACGGCUACGGCAGGAGGUGUUCUGGCACGGGUAACUAAGAUUAAUUGCCAUGGCUGAAGUUGAAGAGACUAUAUAUGAAUAUAAGGAAGCUGAAGUACUAAAAUCAAAUGGAACCAAGUGAAAGCUGUCUCCCUCUGCCGGAAAAAGGGAAAGCCCAUUCCUCCUGGCAAGGAAGGAUCGCCGUUAAUAGUGAUCUGAAUAAUAGAUCGCCAGCGUAUACCGGAAGGGUGAUGGAUUUUACUAUGCCUCCAUCAACAGGCGCUGGCUGGCAAAGUCGUCGUGUCCCAACGGAGACUCUUAGGCAGGACGGGAGGAGUUCAGAUCCGCAGCCUGCCAGAAGAGCGUCACCCGGGAGGGGUCGCUUGAGCUAUAGGCACUGGUGCCGAAGCCCAGUCGGGCAGUCAAAGGAGCCUUGUCACAGCUGGGAGCUCUGUGGAGAUGUGCGGCCGGCCGUGGAGGAUGAGCUCUGACUUGCGGCAUGGACACAGCUAAGUCCUGGGCUGCAUCAUACGUGAGUGGGGCUGGGAGGUGCGAGGCGGUUGUCCCCUAGGUGUGGUCACUGGUGCUGCUGGCCGUGGACGUUUGCCCACGGAGCUGAGAGGACCAAACAUACUAAUUGCCUGACACAGAGAUGAAUUAGCGCUUGUGGGGUUUCAGGUAGGUUCAGUGCAAGUGCAGCUUAGUGCAGUCCUGUGGAGUGAUGCUUGCACAUGUUCACAUUUGAAUGGUAGCUAAAACUAAGCCUCUGAACAGCAACUGUAACGUGAUUCUGGUGCAUGUCUUCCCAUUCUGCUGUACUUCUAAAGGAAGGGGAAACUUCUUAAGCUGCGGGCAAAACUCCUUGGCUUCUCUUGGCUGUUUCCAUGCUCGUGGGUGCUUUGGUGCUUGUUGCUUAAAGCUGAGGGUUUGGAAUUUUUCACUUAAGGUUUAUUGUUUGGCUUGCUGCUGAGGGUCUCUCACCCAGGAGUUACAGGUUAUUACUUUCCUUUAUGGGGCUCAGUCUUUAUCAGUCAGGCUUUACAGUUUGCUCGUUUAGUGAUCAGGGCGCAGAAUUUAAAAUCCAACCUCAUCCGUAAGUUUUAAAUCCUCAGAAAACACUGGGGUUCCGAGGCUUGCGGUUUGUCACUUAGCAUUCAGGGCUUAUGACUUGCUGAGAAGUGAGAAUGGCUAAAUCCUUAGAUAAUGAACUGUAAGUCCUGAAGCCUAAGCAGCAGGCUGCAAACCCUUCUUUGGGCUUUGUAACCUUCCCCUGUACCCAGCGUUCAGCUCUGCACACCGACCUGCACUCUGGAUUUGAUAUGGCGCAGGCCCAUCACACGGAGACUGGCAAUGUGACGGGUGAGCUGAGAGCUGUGGAAGUGUCUUGCAGGGCUCUAGCCUGGGGUAGGGCAGAAGUGCAGACAGGCAAGAUCAGGCAUUUUCCUCUCAUCUCUGAGAUGAAUCCUAUCCCUGAAGGAAAAAGCAGAGGAGUAGGCUGUCAGCUACUCGGACACCUGCCACAUCAAGGGCAGCAGCAGGAGAUGACCCUUCCCUGAUGGAUGGAUGGACGCUGGUGUAGUGAUGACUCUUCAGGCAUCACAGGUAAGGGGAAGCAUGCUGACACUGAGCUCCAUGGCAGACUUGCUUCCAGCUAUUGUUUCUGCGCAGUAAAACAAUAAACAGUUGCUUUAUUCUUUGCA